GGGGAUAUAGCUCAGUUGGUAGAGUGCUUGCCUCAUAUGUACAAGGCCCUGGGUUCAAACCCCAGCACCACCA